UACGGGGGGAGCAAGCGUUGUUCGGAUUUACUGGGCGUAAAGGGCGCGUAGGCGGUCGUGACAAGUCACUUGUGAAAUCUCCGGGCUUAACUCGGAAAGGUCAACUGAUACUGUGCGACUAGAGUGCAGAAGGGGCAACUGGAAUUCUCGGUGUAGCGGUGAAAUGCGUAGAUAUCGAGAGGAACACCUGCGGCGAAGGCGGGUUGCUGGGCUGACACUGACGCUGAUGCGCGAAAGCCAGGGGAGCGAACGGG
rnacentral:rRNA from 1 species